rnacentral:rRNA from 1 species
AAUGAACGUUGGCGGCGUGGAUUAGGCAUGCAAGUCGUGCGCGAUGUGUAGCAAUACAUUGAAAGCGGCGAAAGGGAGAGUAACGCGUGGAUACCUACCCUGAGGCCCGGGAUAGCUGCGGGAAACUGCAGGUAAUACCGGAUGAUGCCUCUGGACCAAAGGUGUGAUUCCUCCUUAGGAUGGGUCCGCGUCCUAUUAGCUAGUUGGUGAGGUAAUGGCUCACCAAGGCGACGAUGGGUACUGGGUGUGAGAGCACGACCCAGCUCACUGGGACUGGGACACUGCCCAGACACCUACGGGUGGCUGCAGUCGAGAAUCUUCCGCAAUGGGCGAAAGCCUGACGGAGCGACGCCGCGUGUGGGACGAAGGCCUUCGGGUUGUAAACCACUGUCAGUUGGGAGGAAAUAUCUAGGGGUUCUCCCCUAGGUUUGACCGAUCUUCAGAGGAAGUCCGGGCUAAGCUCGUGCCAGCCGCCGCUGUAACAC